UACGUAGGUGGCAAGCGUUGUCCGGAUUUACUGGGCGUAAAGCGCACGUAGGCGGAUGCUUAAGUCAGGGGUGAAAUCCCGGGGCUCAACCCCGGAACUGCCUUUGAUACUGGGUGUCUGGAGGUCGAGAGAGGCGAGUGGAAUUCCGAGUGUAGAGGUGAAAUUCGUAGAUAUUCGGAGGAACACCAGUGGCGAAGGCGGCUCGCUGGCUCGAUACUGACGCUGAGGUGCGAAAGCGUGGGGAGCAAACAGG
rnacentral:rRNA from 1 species